UGCAAGUCGAACGAAGUAGCAAUACUUAGUGGCAGACGGGUGAGUAACAUGUAGGUAUCUACCCUUUGGCCUGGAAUAACACGAGGAAACUUGUGCUAAUACCAGAUAAGUCUUUACGGAGAAAGCUUUAUGCACCAUUGGAUGAGCCUGCACUUGAUUAGUUUGUUGGUGGGGUAAUGGCCUACCAAGGCUUUGAUCAAUAGCUGAUUUGAGAGGAUGAUCAGCCACAUUGGGACUGAGACACGGCCCAAACUCCUACGGGAGGCAGCAGUGGGGAAUCUUGCACAAUGGAGGAAACUCUGAUGCAGCGAUGCCGCGUGAGUGAAGAAGGCCUUUGGGUUGUAAAGCUCUUUCGUCGGGGAAGAAAAUGACUGUACCCGAAUAAGAAGGUCCGGCUAACUUCGUGCCAGCAGCCGCGGUAAUACGAAGGGACCUAGCGUAGUUCGGAAUUACUGGGCUUAAAGAGUUCGUAGGUGGUUGAAAAAGUUGGUGGUGAAAUCCCAGAGCUUAACUCUGGAACUGCCAUCAAAACUUUUCAGCUAGAGUUUGAUAGAGAAAAGCAGAAUUUCUAGUGUAGAGGUGAAAUUCGUAGAUAUUAGAAAGAAUACCAAUUGCGAAGGCAGCUUUCUGGAUCAUUACUGACGCUGAGGAACGAAAGCAUGGGUAGCGAAGAGGAUUAGAUACCCUCGUAGUCCAUGCCGUAAAC
rnacentral:rRNA from 1 species